AGAUCUAGCUUGCUAGAUGCUGACGAGCGGCGGACGGGUGAGUAAUGCAUAGGAAUCUGCCCGAUAGUGGGGGAUAACCUGGGGAAACCCAGGCUAAUACCGCAUACGUCCUACGGGAGAAAGGGGGCUCCGGCUCCCGCUAUGGGAUGAGCCUAUGUCGGAUUAGCUAGUUGGUGAGGUAACGGCUCACCAAGGCCACGAUCCGUAGCUGGUCUGAGAGGAUGAUCAGCCACAUCGGGACUGAGACACGGCCCGAACUCCUACGGGAGGCAGCAGUGGGGAAUAUUGGACAAUGGGGGCAAGCCUGAUCCAGCCAUGCCGCGUGUGUGAAGAAGGCCCUCGGGUUGUAAAGCACUUUCAGCGAGGAAGAACGCCUAGCGGUUAAUACCCGCUAGGAAAGACAUCACUCGCAGAAGAAGCACCGGCUAACUCCGUGCCAGCAGCCGCGGUAAUACGGAGGGUGCAAGCGUUAAUCGGAAUUACUGGGCGUAAAGCGCGCGUAGGUGGCUUGAUAAGCCGGUUGUGAAAGCCCCGGGCUCAACCUGGGAACGGCAUCCGGAACUGUCAAGCUAGAGUGCAGGAGAGGAAGGUAGAAUUCCCGGUGUAGCGGUGAAAUGCGUAGAGAUCGGGAGGAAUACCAGUGGCGAAGGCGGCCUUCUGGACUGACACUGACACUGAGGUGCGAAAGCGUGGGUAGCAAACAGGAUUAGAUACCCUGGUAGUCCACGCCGUAAACGAUGUCGACCAGCC
rnacentral:rRNA from 1 species